rnacentral:rRNA from 1 species
CAAGCGGUGGAGCAUGUGGUUAAUUCGAUGCAACGCGAAGAACCUUACCUACUCUUGACAUCCAGAGAAUUCGCUAGAGAUAGCUUAGUGCCUUCGGGAACUCUGAGACAGGUGCUGCAUGGCUGUCGUCAGCUCGUGUUGUGAAAUGUUGGGUUAAGUCCCGCAACGAGCGCAACCCUUAUCCUUUGUUGCCAGCGAGUCAUGUCGGGAACUCAAAGGAGACUGCCGGUGAUAAACCGGAGGAAGGUGGGGAUGACGUCAAGUCAUCAUGGCCCUUACGAGUAGGGCUACACACGUGCUACAAUGGCAUAUACAAAGAGAAGCGAACUCGCGAGAGCAAGCGGACCUCAUAAAGUAUGUCGUAGUCCGGAUUGGAGUCUGCAACUCGACUCCAUGAAGUCGGAAUCGCUAGUAAUCGUAGAUCAGAAUGCUACGGUGAACUCCCGC